rnacentral:rRNA from 1 species
GGUCCUACGGGAGGCAGCAGUGGGGAAUAUUGCACAAUGGGGGAAACCCUGAUGCAGCGACGCCGCGUGAGCGAAGAAGUAUUUCGGUAUGUAAAGCUCUAUCAGCAGGGAAGAAAAAUGACGGUACCUGAGUAAGAAGCACCGGCUAAAUACGUGCCAGCAGCCGCGGUAAUACGUAUGGUGCAAGCGUUAUCCGGAUUUACUGGGUGUAAAGGGAGCGUAGACGGCUGUGCAAGUCUGAAGUGAAAGCCCGUGGCUCAACCGCGGAACUGCUUUGGAAACUGUAUAGCUUGAGUACUGGAGCG